AAUAUUGGACAAUGGGGGGAACCCUGAUCCAGCCAUGCCGCGUGUGUAAAGAAGGUCUUCGGAUUGUAAAGCACUUUAUGUUUGGAGGAAGAGUUGUAGGCUAAUACCUUGCAAUUUUGACGUUACCAACAGAAUAAGCCACGGCUAACUUCGUGCCAGCAGCCGCGGGAAUACGCAGGGUGCAAGCUUUAAUCGUAAUAACUGGGUGUAAAGCGCGCGUAGGUGGUUCGUUAAGUUGGAAGUGAAAGCCCCGGGCUUAACCUGGGAAUUGCUUUCAAAACUGACGAGCUAGAGUACGGUAGAGGGUAGUGGAAUUUCCUGUGUAGCGGUGAAAUGCGUAGAUAUAGGAAGGAACAUCAGUGGCGAAGGCGACUACCUGGACUGAUACUGACACUGAGGUGCGAAAGCGUGGGGAGCAAACAGG
rnacentral:rRNA from 1 species